UGGAUAUGAUGACUGAUUAUCUGAAAUGCUGAUGAAACUGUUGUCAAAUUCCUCUAGAUAGUCAAGUUCUGAUCCAG
rnacentral:snoRNA from 1 species